CUCCUUAGAUCACAUGACCUGGAUGACUGAACCUACAGACAUAUUGACCUGGUUUCAUGGUCACAUGACAGGUCAGAGGUCAGCGACUGUAACUCAGUUCCUCCUGUUAAUGUGAACUCACUGAGUGUUUGUGGUUUACCUCUCAGAUUGACUGAAGAUGAUGAUGGAGGAAGAGGAGGACAGAGCAGAGUCUGCAGUGUCCAGCUGUCCGUCUGUGAGGAGCGACCGGUCCAAAGGUCUAAAUCCAGACUUCAGUGGUGAACCUGGAGCAACGAGAGGUCAGAGGUCACAGUCUGCAGGGUCCAGCUGUCCAUCUGUGAGGAGUGACCGGUCCAAACGUAGCAAUCCACUCUUCAGUGGUGAACCUGGAGCAACGAGAGUGGAGCAGCAGAGCUCAGAGGUUCCCAGUGGUCAGUCUGCCCAGCAGCAUCAAACACAGCUGGACUCCAUAUUUAUG
ensembl:lncRNA